GGUAGGAAGACCAUAGCUGGGAGUGGAAUCGGAGGGUUGAAGGAGACGCAGGAAAUGAUUGAUUUUGCAGCCAAGAACAACAUACUACCGGAUGUGGAGAUCAUACCGAUAGACUACAUAAACACGGCUAUGGAUCGACUGCUGAAAUCUGAUGUGAAGUACAGGUUCGUGAUCGAUGUUGAGAAGUCGUUGAAACCUGAGUAAGAAGUGGCUCAGAAAUGCGUUGAUCUUGUUCCAUCUUUUAGUAUGAAUAAUGGUGUAGGCUGGCAUU
rnacentral:lncRNA from 1 species